UAAGCUCUCUAUGCCUCAGCCUCCUGCCUGGCAGGGGAAUCUAGGAAGAAGCGGAUGCAGGCAGCGCCUCCAGACCCAUUGCUAGCGGUGGAGCAGGAGGCCCAGGGGCUUCUGAGGCCUGCGUCGCCAGGUAGCCCCUAGGCCUGCAGCGUUGCUUUAACUACAGAUCCUGCGCUCUUUCCAGCCUCCCUCAGCCCCGGCCUCCGCGACUUCAGACGGAGUAUGACCCGGUGGGCCCACGUAUAUUUUUAACAACCCCUCGGCCACGCUUUGACUCUGGUAUUAGCUGUGAUGGACUAGAUUUAGGAAACGCUGUUCCGGACCAGGCCAGUUGUACCUUCUGAUAGAAUCUGGCUGGACUUGUGAGGAGAAAAGGAGAAAAAAGAGGGAAAGGCUUGCUGAGAGCUUUGGAGGGAGCAGUGAAUCAGUUGCUAACUGAGACGCAAAAGCCUAUUUUGACACCCUCUAACCACAUAAUCCGAGUUGGGACUUGGAUUACAGUGAGCUGUAGUACUACUUCGACAGUAGAUUAAUGCAGUUUGGCGUUUUUCUUUUAUUGUCCAGGAAUGCAGCAUUUGGCAUCAACAGCAUUUUAUAUCAGCGUGGCAUAUAUCCAUCUGAAGCCUUUACUAGAGUGCAGAAAUAUGGACUCACCUUGCUUGUAACAACUGAUCCUGAGCUCAUAAAAUACCUAAAUAAUGUGGUGGAACAACUGAAAGGUAUUUAAUUGUUGAAAACCAUUCUGAGGUUUGCAAGCCAUGUAGGACCCAUAUUUUCUAGCAUCUUGGUGGUCAUUUUUCAGCUCUAUACAAAAAGGUGUAAAACACUACAAUCUCAAAUAUAGUGAUUCUUAAUUGGAAGGAAGCAAAUAAUAUAUAAGUUGAAACAAAGUCCACCCUUCCCGUAGGUUGAAUAUUUUGAUGUUAGGAAUCUGAUAUGGCUUCACAAAACUAUCUCCAUCAACUUCCUUAGAAAUGAUUUUUUGUGGAUCAUGUAGCCAGAUGGAACAAGUUGGAAUUUUACAUACUUAUGGUGAUGUUCAUUAUGGAGAAAAAUCCACUAUAUAUUUUAACAUGAUACAUUUUCUGUAGCUGCCUAGAGUUUAAAGCCACCAUUACUUUAAGAUAAAGGAAAAUAAAAUUGGAUCCAACCUGGGA